AAAGGUUUAGUUUAAAUAAAACAUUAAUUUGUCAGGUUAAAAAUAUUAAUUUAAUUAAUAAUCUUUA
rnacentral:tRNA from 1 species